AUACCAGCUGAGCUAAGGAUGGGUAAUACUGUUGCAGUAAAAACAUUCGUAGUCACUUGAUUUGUUCUAUAUAUAGUUUAACUAUUAAUAGUGUUCAAAACUUAUUUUUCGCGAUUAAAUUAAAUUGAUUAAAUUGAAUGAUGUAUAAUAAAGCGCGAGAAACCUGAUGAUACCUUUUUGCGAAUUUAUCCGAUUUUGUUAAAAGGAAUAAAUAGUAAAAAUAAGAGAGGAUGGUGGUACUUACCAGCUAGAGGUGAAAUUCUUAGAUUUGGUAAUGACUCACAACUGCAAAAGCAUCCGUCCAGCUUAUUUUUGGUGAUCAAGAAUUAAAAGUGUGGGGGAUCGAAGAGGAUUAGAUACCCUCGUAGUCCACACCCUAAACUAUGUCAACUAGUGAUUGGUAGAAAUAUAAAUUCCAUCAGAACCUUAGCAGAUAUGAAAGUUUUGGACUCUGGGGGAGGUAUGGUCGCAAGGCUGAAACUUAAAGAAAUUACC
rnacentral:rRNA from 1 species